CUACGGGAGGCAGCAGUGGGGAAUAUUGGACAAUGGGGGAAACCCUGAUCCAGCCAUGCCGCGUGAGUGAUGAAGGCCCUAGGGUUGUAAAGCUCUUUUGUGCGGGAAGAUAAUGACGUACCGCAAGAUAGCCCUGAUUCC
rnacentral:rRNA from 1 species